rnacentral:rRNA from 1 species
UACAGAGGGGGCAAGCGUUGUUCGGAAUUACUGGGCGUAAAGGGCGCGUAGGCGCCUUCUAAGUCGAACGUGAAAUCCCCGGGCUCAACCCGGGAACUGCGUCCGAUACUGGAAGGCUUGAAUCCGGGAGAGGGAUGCGGAAUUCCAGGUGUAGCGGUGAAAUGCGUAGAUAUCUGGAGGAACACCGGUGGCGAAGGCGGCAUCCUGGACCGACAUUGACGCUGAACGGCGAAAGCUAGGGGAGCAAACAGGAUAAGA